rnacentral:rRNA from 1 species
GAGCCCGCGGCCGAUUAGCUAGUUGGUGGGGUAAGAGCCUACCAAGGCAGAGAUCGGUAGCCGGCCUGAGAGGGCACACGGCCACACUGGCACUGAAACACGGGCCAGACUCCUACGGGAGGCAGCAGUGGGGAAUCUUGCACAAUGGGGGAAACCCUGAUGCAGCGACGCCGCGUGAGCGAUGAAGCCCUUCGGGGUGUAAAGCUCUUUCGGCAGGGAAGAUAGUGACGGUACCUGCAGAAGCAGCUGCGGCUAACUACGUGCCAGCAGCCGCGGUAAUACGUAGGCAGCAAGCGUUGUUCGGAGUUACUGGGCGUAAAGGGUGUGUAGGCGGUUCUUUAAGUUUGGUGUGAAAUCUCCCGGCUUAACCGGGAGGGUGCGCCGAAUACUGAGGGACUAGAGUACGGGAGAGGAAAGUGGAAUUCCUGGUGUAGCGGUGAAAUGCGUAGAUAUCAGGAGGAACACCGGUGGUGUAGACGGCUUUCUGGACCGUAACUGACGCUGAGACACGAAAGCGUGGGUAGCAAACAGGAUUAGAUACCCUGGUAGUCCACGCCCUAAACGAUGCAUAUUUGGUGUGGGCAGUUCAUUCUGUCCGUGCCGGAGCUAACGCGUUAAAUAUGCCGCCUGGGGAGUACAGUCGCAAGGCUGAAACUCAAAGGAAUUGACGG